rnacentral:rRNA from 1 species
AUUGAACGCUGGCGGCAGGCCUAACACAUGCAAGUCGAGCGGAUGAGAGGAGCUUGCUCCUCGAUUCAGCGGCGAACGGGUGAGUAAUGCCUAGGAAUCUGCCUAGUAGUGGGGGACAAUGUUUCGAAAGGAACGCUAAUACCGCAUACGUCCUACGGGAGAAAGUGGGGGAUCUUCGGACCUCACGCUAUUAGAUGAGCCUAGGUCGGAUUAGCUAGUUGGUAGGGUAAAGGCCUACCAAGGCGACGAUCCGUAACUGGUCUGAGAGGAUGAUCAGUCACACUGGAACUGAGACACGGUCCAG